rnacentral:rRNA from 1 species
GUCAAGUAAUUAAGUGCAUGUGGUGGAUGCCUUGGCAGUCAGAGGCGAUGAAAGACGUGAUAGCCUGCGAAAAGCUCCGGGGAGGCGGCAAAUAUCCUUUGAUCCGGAGAUGUCUGAAUGGGGGAACCCACCUACUUUAAGGUAGGUAUUGCAACAUGAAUACAUAGUGUUGCAAGGCGAACGAGGGGAAGUGAAACAUCUCAGUACCCUUAGGAAAAGAAAUCAAUUGAGAUUCCCUCAGUAGCGGCGAGCGAACGGGGAUCAGCCCAUUAAGUUAUGUGUGUUUUAGUGGAACGCUCUGGGAAGUGCGAACGUAGAGGGUGAUAUUCCCGUACACGAAAGGGCACACAUAAUGAUGACGAGUAGGGCGAGGCACGUGAAACCUUGUCUGAAUAUGGGGGGACCAUCCUCCAAGGCUAAAUACUCCUGACUGACCGAUAGUGAACCAGUACCGUGAGGGAAAGGCGAAAAGAACCCCUGUGAGGGGAGUGAAAUAGAUCCUGAAACCGCAUGCAUACAAGCAGUGGGAGCACCUUCGUGGUGUGACUGCGUACCUUUUGUAUAAUGGGUCAGCGACUUAUAUUCAGUAGCGAGGUUAACCGUAUAGGGGAGCCGUAGAGAAAUCGAGUCUUAAUAGGGCGUUUAGUUGCUGGGUAUAGACCCGAAACCAGGCGAUCUAUCCAUGAGCAGGUUGAAGGUUGGGUAACACUAACUGGAGGACCGAACCCACUGUCGUUGAAAAGCCAGGGGAUGACUUGUGGAUAGGGGUGAAAGGCUAAUCAAGCCUGGUGAUAGCUGGUUCUCCCCGAAAGCUAUUUAGGUAGCGCCUCGGACGAAUACCAUAGGGGGUAGAGCACUGUUUCGGCUAGGGGGUCAUCCCGACUUACCAAACCGAUGCAAACUCCGAAUACCUAUGAGUACUAUCCGGGAGACAGACUGCGGGUGCUAACGUCCGUAGUCAAGAGGAAAACAAUCCAGACCGCCAGCUAAGGCCCCAAAAUCAUAGUUAAGUGGGAAACGAUGUGGGAAGGCAUAGACAGCUAGGAGGUUGGCUUAGAAGCAGCCACCCUUUAAAGAAAGCGUAAUAGCUCACUAGUCGAGUCGGCCUGCGCGGAAGAUGUAACGGGGCUAAAACUAUGUGCCGAAGCUGCGGAUGUAUACUUUGUAUACGUGGUAGGGGAGCGUUCUGUAAGCCGAUGAAGGUGUGUUGAGAAGCAUGCUGGAGGUAUCAGAAGUGCGAAUGCUGACGUGAGUAACGACAAAACGGGUGAAAAACCCGUUCGCCGAAAGACCAAGGGUUCCAGUCCAACGUUAAUCGGGGCUGGGUGAGUCGACCCCUAAGGCGAGGCCGAAAGGCGUAGUCGAUGGGAAAAUGGUUAAUAUUCCAUUACUUCUGUGUAAUGCGAUGAGAGGACGGAGAAGGCUAAAUCAGCCUGGCGUUGGUUGUCCAGGUGAAAGGAUGUAGGCAUGUAUCUUAGGCAAAUCCGGGGUACUCUAUGCUGAGAUCUGAUAGCAAGCUGUACUUGUACAGCGAAGUGGUUGAUGCCAUGCUUCCAGGAAAAGUCUCUAAGCUUCAGUUACACAGGAAUCGUACCCGAAACCGACACAGGUGGUCAGGUCGAGUAGACCAAGGCGCUUGAGAGAACUCUGCUGAAGGAACUAGGCAAAAUGGUACCGUAACUUCGGGAGAAGGUACGCUGUUGUUGGUGAUGGAACUCGCUUCCUGAGCUGACGACAGCCGCAGAAACCAGGCCGCUGCAACUGUUUAUUAAAAACAUAGCACUCUGCAAACACGAAAGUGGACGUAUAGGGUGUGAUGCCUGCCCGGUGCUGGAAGGUUAAUUGAUGGGGUUAGCGUAAGCGAAGCUCUUGAUCGAAGCCCCAGUAAACGGCGGCCGUAACUAUAACGGUCCUAAGGUAGCGAAAUUCCUUGUCGGGUAAGUUCCGACCUGCACGAAUGGCAUAAUGAUGGCGGCGCUGUCUCCAGCAGAGGCUCAGUGAAAUCGAAAUCGCUGUGAAGAUGCAGUGUACCCGCGGCUAGACGGAAAGACCCCGUGAACCUUUACUGCAGCUUGACACUGAACUUUGACCUUACUUGUGUAGGAUAGGUGGGAGGCUUUGAAGCUGGAACGCUAGUUCCAGUGGAGCCGUCCUUGAAAUACCACCCUGGUAAUGUUGAGGUUCUAACUCUGUCCCGUGAUCCGGGACGAGGACCGUGUCUGGUGGGUAGUUUGACUGGGGCGGUCUCCUCCUAAAGAGUAACGGAGGAGUACGAAGGUGCGCUCAGCGUGGUCGGAAAUCACGCGUAGAGUAUAAAGGCAAAAGCGCGCUUAACUGCGAGACCCACAAGUCGAGCAGGUACGAAAGUAGGUCUUAGUGAUCCGGUGGUUCUGUAUGGAAGGGCCAUCGCUCAACGGAUAAAAGGUACUCUGGGGAUAACAGGCUGAUACCGCCCAAGAGUUCAUAUCGACGGCGGUGUUUGGCACCUCGAUGUCGGCUCAUCUCAUCCUGGGGCUGAAGCAGGUCCCAAGGGUAUGGCUGUUCGCCAUUUAAAGAGGUACGCGAGCUGGGUUUAGAACGUCGUGAGACAGUUCGGUCCCUAUCUACCGUGGGCGCUGGAAAUUUGAGAGGAUCUGCUCCUAGUACGAGAGGACCAGAGUGGACGAA